GACAGACACAGCAAAACUUCUUGCCACAGCUCGCAUUGAUGUGCCAUCCUGGAUGAGUUGCACUACCUGAGCCACUUGUGUGGGUUGUAGACUCGGGCUCAUGCAACCACUAGAGUGAAGCACCGCCAGCAUUCAAAAGUGACCAAAACAUCAGCCAGGAAGCAUAGGAACUGAGAAGUGGUCUGUGGUCCCCACCUGCAGAACCACUCCUUUAUUGGGGGUGUCUUGCUAAUUGCCUAAAAUUUCCACCUGUUGUCUAUUCUAUUUGCACAACAGCAUGUGAAAUUUAUUGUCAAUCAGUGUUGCUUCCUAAGUGGACAGUUUGAUUUCACAGAAGUGUGAUUGACUUGGAGUUACAUUGUGUUGUUUAAGUGUUCCCUUUAUUUUUUUGAGCAGUGUACAUCUCACUCUUUUUUCCUCUCUCACUCUCAGAAUAAAUGUUUCAUGUCGAAUGAGAGAUCCAUUUCUGUCAGUCUCCUAUUUGCCUGAGGGGGCCUGCAAGGCAUAAGUAGAAAGAACUUUCAUUCCAUGUUUAUCAUCUCAAGUAUUCGGGCCAACAACCUACAUUGAUGACAGGGCUGUUGCCAUUGAUGACAGGAACUGUGAUGGUUACGAGCCACAAACAUGAUGUCACCAGCCUUUACAAAGUGUUUUGAAUCUUCUACUAU
rnacentral:lncRNA from 1 species